CUGACAAAUGAUCAUAGCACGCUACAACCUCUACAUCCUGGGCUCAAGAGCUUCUCCUGCCUCAGCGUCCCAAGUAACUGGGACUACAGAUUUCAGUUUAGGUUUAUCCGUGGAAAGAUGGAGGAAUGAGAGCUAGAGAACAAGAGAGCAAGUGAGAGUAAUGGAAAGUCCAAAGGAAAAAGAUGGACAAGACGAAUGAAGGGAAACAAGAAGGAAAAGAGAGAGGCAGAGGGAGAGGGAGACUUAUUUGAGGAUUUAUUUUUUAAUCAGUAGUUGAUGUUGAUUUUUUCAAAUAAUUCUUAAGUCUUUAGCUUUUUGUGUUAUUAAAAUUUUAAAAUAUAGAAAAA
rnacentral:lncRNA from 10 species